rnacentral:misc_RNA from 1 species
AAGUCGUAACAAGGUUUCCGUAGGUGAACCUGCGGAAGGAUCAUUAACACGUAUCCAACGUUAAACCCCCCUGUGAACCUUAUUGUGCUCCCAGGACGCGGCCCUGGUAAAUCAUCGCCGAACAGUUUUGAUUCAGGGACCUCUGCAUGGAGUGGGCAGCAGCGCGAGGCAACAACGAUCGCGCCGACACGGCGGGCGACAGGGUCACUGGGCUCACGCCCCCUAUCACCUUUGCAUGAAAACGGGCCUGCGCUUAAUUGUGCGGCCACCAAACUCGAACAACUGUUAACAAUGGAUAUCUUGGUUCUC